CCACUCUCUUCGAGUUCUGCAAAGGACAUUCAUUACUCAGCAUGUCUCUUUGAGGCUAGAGCAUUUUUAUCAACAUAAGUUGAUCAAUGUAGGGAGAAGAAGCACCUGUACUUUUGGCUCCCUGAAUAUCUGCUGAACUGAUGUGAAAUGCAAAGUCAACCCAACAGAACAACAUUUCUAGAGUGAAGGCAGACAGAUCGUCCAUAUUGUCUCCCAUCUCCCCAGUGACGGUCAGGGCCUGUUUCACCUUCAGGUUGAGAGGUUCGCUGCUGGACAGAAGCAGGAGGUCGGCCUGGAAGCACCAUCAGUUCAGCUAAAAGUGACUUCAGC